rnacentral:rRNA from 1 species
AUUGUGACGCUGGCGGCGUGCUUAACACAUGCAAGUCGAACGAUGAUGCCAGCUUGCUGGUGGAUUAUGUGGCGAACGGGUGAGUAACACGUGAGUAACCUGCCCUUAACUCUGGGAUAAGCCUGGGAAACUGGGUCUAAUACCGGAUAUGACUCCUCAUCGCAUGGUGGGGGGUGGAAAGCUUUAUUGCGGUUUUGGAUGGACUCGCGGCCUAUCAGGUUGGUGGUGAGGUAAUGGCUCACCAAGGCGACGACCGGUAGCCUGCCUGAGAGGGUGACCUGGCCACACUUGGGACUGAUACACGGCCCAGACUCCUACGGGAGGCAGCAUAUGGGGAAUAUUGCACAAUGGGCGAAAGCCUGAUGCAGCGACGCCGCUGUGAGGGAUGACGGCCUUCGGGUUGUAAACCUCUUUCAGUAGGGAAGAAGCGAAAGUGACGGUACCUGCAGAAGAAGCGCCGGCUAACUACGUGCCAGCAGCCGCGGUAAUACGUAGGGCGCAAGCGUUAUCCGGAAUUAUUGGGCGUAAAGAGCUCGUAGGCGGUUUGUCGCGUCUGGCGUGAAAGUCCGGGGCUCAACUCCGGAUCUGCGGUGGGUACUGGGCAGACUAGAGUGAUGUAGGGGAGACUGGAAUUCCUGGUGUAGCGGUGAAAUGCGCAGAUAUCAGGAGGAACACCGAUGGCGAAGGCAGGUCUCUGGGCAUUAACUGACGCUGAGGAGCGAAAGCAUGGGGAGCGAACAGGAUUAGAUACCCUGGUAGUCCAUGCCGUAAACGUUGGGCACUAGGUGUGGGGGACAUUCCACGUUUUCCGCGCCGUAGCUAACGCAUUAAGUGCCCGCCUGGGGAGUACGGCCGCAAGGCUAAACUCAAAGGAAUUGACGGGGGCCCGCACAAGCGGUGGAUUAUGUGGAUUAAUUCGAUGCAACGCGAAAACUUACCUGGCCUUGACAUGCACGGAACUUUCCAGAGAUGGAUGGGUGCCCGAAAGGGAACCGUAACACAGGUGCUGCAUGGCUGUCGUCAGCUCGUGUCGUGAGAUGUUGGGUUAAGUCCCGCAACGAGCGCAACCCUUGCCAUUAAUUGCCAUCAUUUAGUUGGGCACUUUAAUGGGACUGCCGGUGACAAACCGGAGGAAGGUGGGGAUGACGUCAAGUCCUCAUGGCCCUUAUGGCCAGGGCUUCACACGUAAUACAAUGGUCGGUACAGAGGGUUGCCAACCCGCGAGGGGGACCCAAUCCCAGAAAGCCGAUCGUAGUCCGGAUUGCAGUCUGCAACUCGACUGCAUGAAGUCGGAAUCGCUAGUAAUCGCGGAUCAGCAUGUCGCGGUGAAUACGUUCCCGGGCCUUGUACACACCGCCCGUCACACCAUGGGAGUGGGUUC